UUUCCCAUAGGAAGAAGUUUUUCUCUCGCAUAUCUCAUAUAUACCAGCUGCUUUAACACCAAUCUUUUGAGCAAGCAGAAAUGAAUCUUGAAAUGGUUUUCGUCUUGCUUUUCUUACUUCUACCACUCUACCUUCUCCUGAGACAGAGAAUUUCAGGAAGGUUUCCACCGGGUUCUUUAGGGUUACCCAUCAUUGGCCAAAGUAUCACCUUCCGGCCGCAUGCCAUGCGCAAAAAUACAGAUGAAGAAUGGCUACGGAUUAGAAUAAGAAAAUACGUUCCCGUCUGGAAAACGAGCCUCCUUGGGAAACCAACAGUAUUCCUGUCUGGGGCUGCAAAAAAUUUCAUCUACAAUUGUGAUGGUAGCAUUCUUGCCGGUCAGAAACCGCUGUCGGUGAGGAGGAUUUGUGGUCAGAGGAAUAUUUUUGAAUUGAGUGGCCAUGAGCACAAGCGCGUCAGAGGAGUACUGGUAUCACUCUUAAAGCCUGAAGUGUUAAGGCAUAUGUCGGUGAGAUGGAUGAAAGAAUCAGAAAGCAUUUCGAGAUGCAUUGGCAUGGAAAGCAGAAGGUUUCUGUAUGUCCAUUUUAUCUAACAACAAAAUAUCAGCACAUCUCUUAAGAAUAUUUUAAACCAUAAAUCUAAUUCUGCCAUCUCCUGACUAUAAAUCAUAGGCAAUAAAUGCGCGCGCGAUAUAUCUAUUUUUAUCAUCGCAUUGUAGGCAAUGCCAUUGAUGAAGAGCCUCACCUUCAACAUUAUGAGCUCACUGAUAAUUGGAAUAGAAUGAGGCGUGAGAAGAGAAACACUUGGAGAGCUCUUCCAACAACUCAUCAAGGGUGCUCUUUCAGUACCAAUCAAUUUUCCCUUCACACGCUUCAGUCGUAGUCUGAAAGCAAGGGAGGAAAUCAGAAUGAUCAUCAUGUAUACACGAAAAAAGGGCUGAACAGAAACAUCAAACUGCCUGUCCUCAACAAGAUCUUAUCAACACGUUACUUAGUCUCAGAAAUGAAGACUUUUCAGCAGCAUUAUCUGAUGAGGAAAUUGUAGAUAAUGUUAUCACUGUUAUGAUAGCAGGGCAUGACACAGCCACCGUGCUCCUCACUUUAUUGAUUAGACUUUUAGCAAGUGAUCAAGCUAUUUAUGCAAGCAUAGCUAAAGGUACGCAACUAAAUCAAUUCUAUAAUAUUGAAAAAUAUCGCACAACUUCAUGGAAAUUUACCGAAAUUUGCGACUGCAGAACAAGAGGAGAUUGCCAAGAGUAAGGCCUCUGGAGAGCUUUUACAUCGGAUGAUUUUGCAAGGAUGAAAUACACAUGGAGGGUAGCAUUGGAAUGUCUAAUUAGAAUGACCCCUCCUGUAUUUAACUCCUUUAGGAAUGUCCUUAAAGAUUUCGAGUACGAAGGGUACCUUAUUCCCAAAGGAUGGCAGGUGUGACAAAAUUCUAUGCUUGUUUUACUUUCCAUUGUAGCUUAAUAACUAGAACAACAUGAUAACAUAUAACUCUUGUACCAAGUUUCAAUUUUUUUAACUCAGAUAGCCUGGGCAGCCUGCAAAACACACAUGGAUAACUGUCUUUUCCCAGAUUCAAUGAACUUCGAUCCAAAGCAUUUCGAUAUGCAAAUCCCACCGUAUAGUUUUGUGGCAUUCAGGGGAGGAGCGCGAAUAUGCCCUGGUUAUGAAUUUGCAAGACUUGAAACUCUGAUUACAAUGCAUUACCUGGUGAACAGGUUCACAUGGAAGCGCUAUAUCCCUGACAUUUCUUUUCCGGAGAUCCAAUGCCAACUUUAAAGGAUGGACUGGAGAUUGAAAUUGAGCCAAAGGGACCUCUCAAAGUCAACUCAAUGCAUACUCCUGCAAUUUUGGGCUCUUUUCCUUUAAUAAACUUAAGAACUGAAGCUGUUAUUUGAUUUUACUCCACAACACAGUCAUGAGAUUUUCAGAUUUAACUGUUUGAUUGUUCAUCCAGAAAAUACUUCCAAGCUGCAGUAGGUCGGCUAGAAGAGGCAGUUUACAAGACUAAACUGGAGAUAAUGAAGAAAAUGAGAAAACAGCUCCAGAUUUAAAAUGCUUUAUAUGUGGCAGAAACAGCCUUGGAGUCAACAACUCAAUCUGGAAAAACUACGUCUCUGAGUUGAGAACCUGAAAGCGAAAGCAAACCCAAUUUCAAUUCUCAAUCUCGAUUCUAUGAUGCCAUGUGUAUUGAUGAGAAGGAUGGCCCCUGUAUACACUGCAAGUUUGCCAGCAGCCAGUUGUCAUCUCUGACAUGUAGGAAAACAUAUCAGGAUUUUGAAAAAUAGAGCUAGCUCCUUUAUUGCUUCUUGGUGACUUCCAAUGGAAUUUUGAUGUAAACAUGCAGGAGGUUGGAUCGGUAUUCGAGUAUAACUUCAUAUUAUUUGUCCUGUUUUGAAUUUCUAAAACUUACUUUCAGACUGGUUUGAGAUUUUAGGACUACGGCAAGUAUAUUACGCGAUAA